rnacentral:rRNA from 1 species
CCUACGGGAGGCAACAGUGAGGAAUAUUGGUCAAUGGGCGAGAGCCUGAACCAGCCAAGUCGCGUGAGGGAAGACGGUCCUAUGGAUUGUAAACCUCUUUUGCCGGGGAGCAAAAAGCGGAUCGUGUACCGCACCGAGAGUACCCGGAGAAAAAGCAUCGGCUAACUCCGUGCCAGCAGCCGCGGUAAUACGGAGGAUGCGAGCGUUAUCCGGAUUUAUUGGGUUUAAAGGGUGCGCAGGCGGCGUGUUAAGUCAGCGGUAAAAGUUCGGGGCUCAACCCCGACAAGCCGUUGAAACUGGCUUGCUAGAGAGGGCGAGAGGUAUGCGGAAUGCGUGGUGUAGCGGUGAAAUGCAUAGAUAUCGCGCAGAACUCCGAUUGCGAAGGCAGCAUACCGGCGCCCAACUGACGCUGAGGCACGAAAGCGUGGGUAUCGAACAGGAUUAGAUACCCUUGUAGUC